GAUGAACGCUGGCGGCGUGCCUAAUACAUGCGAGUCGAGCGAACGGACGAGAAGCUUGCCUCUCUGAUGUUAGCGGCGGACGGGUGAGUAACACGUGGAUAACCUACCUAUAAGACUGGGAUAACUUCGGGAAACCGGAGCUAAUACCGGAUGAUAUUUUGAACCGCAUGGUUCAAAAGUGAAAGACGGUCUUGCUGUCACUUAUAGAUGGAUCCGCGCUGCAUUAGCUAGUUGGUAAGGUAACGGCUUACCAAGGCAACGAUGCAUAGCCGACCUGAGAGGGUGAUCGGCCACACUGGAACUGAGACACGGUCCAGACUCCUACGGGAGGCAGCAGUAGGGAAUCUUCCGCAAUGGGCGAAAGCCUGACGGAGCAACGCCGCGUGAGUGAUGAAGGUCUUCGGAUCGUAAAACUCUGUUAUUAGGGAAGAACAUAUGUGUAAGUAACUGUGCACAUCUUGACGGUACCUAAUCAGAAAGCCACGGCUAACUACGUG
rnacentral:rRNA from 1 species